rnacentral:rRNA from 1 species
CACGUAGGGCGCAAGCGUUGUCCGGAAUUAUUGGGCGUAAAGAGCUCGUAGGCGGUUUGUCGCGUCUGCUGUGAAAACUCGAGGCUCAACCUCGGGCUUGCAGUGGGUACGGGCAGACUAGAGUGCGGUAGGGGAGACUGGAAUUCCUGGUGUAGCGGUGGAAUGCGCAGAUAUCAGGAGGAACACCGAUGGCGAAGGCAGGUCUCUGGGCCGCAACUGAACGCUG